CCAAAUUUCUUGUCGAACUCUGUCUUGUGCUGAUAAAUGCGACGCAUCAGAGCUGGAAUCCAUGGAGUAGAGGGGUUACUGGCGAUGUGCCUGGAUCUUUGCGCCGUCAACCGACGUAUUGCAACAUACCUAAGUUGGACGACAUCGAGAUCGGCGUAUCUCAUUCCUGGGAAACAGGACAUUACUGUCGGAUGUAUCCCGGUAUCGUCGUAUCUAUCGUACGCAUGUUCCAAAACGGGCACCCAUGGCGUUGUGGGGUUGUCCACAACAUGUCGCGAUCUCUGCUUGGCAAGUCGAUUGUAUUCUCUAUAAAAAAUAAAUAAAUAAGAUUAAGUAUUAACAAUCUCUUUAGAGAAUAUAAAAUAAUGUUAAAUACCUCAAUUCAACCUCGUCAAGGCUAGAGUAUGUCUUUCCUGGGAAACAGGACAGGACGGCCGGAUGCACCCCUAUAUCGUCAUUUUUCUUAUACUUAGGUUCCAGGACUGGAAUCCAAGUAUUUGUGGAGUUACUGGCGAUGUGCUUGCAUCUCUGCGCCGACAACCGUUUGUAUUCUCUAUAAAAAUAAAUAAAUAGAAUUAAGUAUUAACAAUCUCUUGAGAGAAUAUAAAAUAAUGUCAAAUACCUCAGCUCAUCCUUAUCAAGGUCGGAGAAUUUCUUCCUCGGAAAGCAGGACAUGACGCCAGGAUGUACCACCUUCCCCCCUGCUCUCAAAAAAUCCACCGUGAGGGUAGGCGUUGUGCUGGAGGAUGACGACGAUGCAGUUGACGGGAGAGACCUCUGCCUUAGAGUUAAAAACGGCCUGUUUCACACAAAGGAAAACAUUUCUCUGAUGAGAUAAAACUACAAUUAUUAUUUAUAAAACAUCGCACAUACUUUUCUACCAUCACAGGCUCAGCUGCUGAAGGAGGAGGGUCGAUAAUUUGCACCUCAUCAUCAGAACUACAUAAGUAUAAUUAAAUAAUUAAUUGCACCACUAAAUUCUCUCAACAGAUAGUAACAAUAAAAACAUCCUUCAGUGAAACUUACUCAACGUAGUAACUCGCAGCAGAAUCGUCAAAAAAGCCAGACGACGACGAUUUAUUAAGUCCCCCGUCAAGAGACUUCUCACUAAAUAAAUCAAGAAAAGACGCAAUUAAUUUCUCUAUUGAGAUAAAAAAACAUCUAAUGUAUCAACGACGACAAAUUACUUGAAAGAGUCAUCAACUGUUGCUGGUGGAAGCGACGCCGCUCCAUUUCUCUCCGGAGAUGAAUCACUAACACAGAAAUAAACAAUAAAUUAUGUAGUUUCAAUA